rnacentral:misc_RNA from 1 species
CAAAAUACGUCAAAUCCCUGCUACACCAGCCCGUACGCCUCGCGCAUCUCGUCGAUGGCUUCAAGUUUUGCGUGAAACACCGACCAGUCGUCGCUGUCGGCGAUCGGCUUCCCGAUCGCCNUCUGCGAUCGGCUUCCAGAUCGCUUCGACUUCUUCGAUCAGCAUGGAACAUGCGACCGGCCUGCUGAAAAAGGCGCGGUUGAGAUCAACGCCCUCACGCGGAACAAAGUCUUUCAGUGCAUCGCGAACCGGGUUGAACGCCG